rnacentral:rRNA from 1 species
UACGGAGGGUGCGAGCGUUAUCCGGAAUUACUGGGCUUAAAGGGUGCGUAGGCGGCUUUGUAAGUCAGGAGUGAAAGUUUGCGGCUCAACCGUAAAAUUGCUUUUGAUACUGCGAGGCUAGAAUUAGGAUGAGGUCAGCGGAAUGUGUCAUGUAGCGGUGAAAUGCAUAGAUAUGCCAUAGAACACCAAUUGCGAAGGCAGCUGGCUAGACCUGGAUUGACGCUGAGGCACGAAAGCGUGGGGAGCGAACAGG